UCUGCUUCAGCAGUACCGUGCAGCACUUCGCCAAGUUAAUAAAGUAAACACUGACCUUGAAAAACAACAACAAUCCUUUAAUACUGUAGAAAUGCAAUGUAAGAAAGAAGAGCUUGCUGAACUGGAAGACAAACUUAAAUUAAUAGACCAGGAAUUAGGUAAGACCUCACCAGUCAAUGCAACAUAUUACCACCUCUUUCAGAGUACUUGAUUGUCCGCGACUCCAAGCCAUUCCAAAAUAGGAAGAGUACUAAAACGUCCAUGCAGUUCAGAAAAAUGGGAUUCAUCUCUAUGAAGAAAAG